rnacentral:rRNA from 1 species
UGGGGAAUAUUGCACAAUGGGGGAAACCCUGAUGCAGCAACGCCGCGUGAGUGAAGAAGUAUUUCGGUAUGUAAAGCUCUAUCAGCAGGGAAGAAGAGAGACGGUACCUGACUAAGAAGCCCCGGCUAACUACGUGCCAGCAGCCGCGGUAAUACGUAGGGGGCAAGCGUUAUCCGGAUUUACUGGGUGUAAAGGGAGCGUAGACGGCUUGAUAAGUCUGAAGUGAAAGGCCAAGGCUUAACCAUGGAACUGCUUUGGAAACUAUGAGGCUAGAGUGCUGGAGAGGUAAGCGGAAUUCCUAGU